rnacentral:rRNA from 1 species
CCUACGGGUGGCAGCAGUGAGGAAUAUUGGUCAAUGGACGCAAGUCUGAACCAGCCAUGCCGCGUGCAGGAAGACUGCUCUAUGAGUUGUAAACUUCUUUUGUACGAGAGUAAACGCAGAUACGCGUAUCUGUCUGAAAGUACUUUACGAAUAAGGAUCGGCUAACUCCGUGCCAGCAGCCGCGGUAAUACGGAGGAUUCGAGCGUUAUCCGGAUUUAUUGGGUUUAAAGGGUGCGUAGUGGGUCUGAUAAGUCAGUUGUGAAAGUCUGCGGCUCAACUGUGGAAUUGCAUCUGAUACUGGCAGCCUUGAGAGUAGUUGAGGUAGGCGGAAUGUGUGGUGUAGCGGUGAAAUGCUUAGAUAUCACAAAGAACACCGAUUGCGAAGGCAGCUUACUAAGCUACCACUGACGUUGAGGCUCGAAAGUGUGGGUAGCAAACAGGAUUAGAUACCCGAGUAGUC